GCAUCUCUUGACCCUUCGGGUAGGCACAGGGUAGGUGCGGCAGGGAUGGGGCCAGUGCUCAUGGUGGCCUCUCUGUGCCUCGGUGGACCUGCCCCAGCAGUGGGAGCCAUAACCCCCUCCCCCUUCAUUACUUCACUCAGGUGGGCACCUUCCCCUGCAGGGUGUCUGCCCUCAGGGAACUCAAGGACUCUCAGAGACACCAGGGCAGCCUGGCCCAGAGGAGCAACAGCCAGGCCCCCAGGAGGACAGCCAUGGAGAGAAUUGAGACCCACUUACAGUGGGGUCUGGGAACCCUGCCUUUACCUGGGGUUCAGUCCCUCCCCACUCUCUCUGUGUAUCUGCCCCCCAGCAAAGGUGGGGUGACCACUUCUGGUAGCUAAGCACCUGCUCCCCGGCUCUCUUCACCCAGGACAUCUGUCUCUCUGGAGUGUCUGUCUGUCUGUCCCUCCCUCUCUGAACCUGCUUCCUCCGUGUCCCCUGCUCCUCACCCCUGGGAGCCCACUCCCCCUCCUUGCAGCUCCC
rnacentral:lncRNA from 1 species